UACGUAGGGCGCACGCGUUAUCCGGAAUUAUUGGGCGUAAAGAGCUCGUAGGCGGUUUGUCGCGUCUGCCGUUAAAGUCCGGGGCUCAACUCCGGAUCUGCGGUGGGUACGGGCAGACUAGAGUGAUGUAGGGGAGACUGGAAUUCCUGGUGUAGCGGUGAAAUGCGCAGAUAUCAGGAGGAACACCGAUGGCGAAGGCAGGUCUCUGGGCAUUAACUGACGCUGAGGAGCGAAAGCAUGGGGAGCGAACAGG
rnacentral:rRNA from 1 species